GAUGAACGCUGGCGGCGUGCCUAAUACAUGCAAGUCGAGCGAACAGACGAGGAGCUUGCUCCUCUGAUGUUAGCGGCGGACGGGUGAGUAACACGUGGAUAACCUACCUAUAAGACUGGGAUAACUUCGGGAAACCGGAGCUAAUACCGGAUAACAUGUUGAACCGCAUGGUUCAACAGUGAAAGACGGUCUUGCUGUCACUUAUAGAAGGAUCCGCGCCGCAUUAGCUAGUUGGUAAGGUAACGGCUUACCAAGGCAACGAUGCGUAGCCGACCUGAGAGGGUGAUCGGCCACACUGGAACUGAGACACGGUCCAGACUCCUACGGGAGGCAGCAGUAGGGAAUCUUCCGCAAUGGGCGAAAGCCUGACGGAGCAACGCCGCGUGAGUGAAGAAGGUCUUCGGAUCGUAAAACUCUGUUAUUAGGGAAGAACAAAUGUGUAAGUAACUAUGCACGUCUUGACGGUACCUAAUCAGAAAGCCACGGCUAACUACGUG
rnacentral:rRNA from 1 species